CCUACGGGAGGCAGCAGUGAGGAAUAUUGGUCAAUGGGCGAGAGCCUGACGCAGCGAAGUCGCGUGAGGGAUGACUGCCCUCCGAUUUUUAACCUUCGUUUAUAGGGGAGUAAAGUGACGCACGUAUUCAUCUUUGUAUGUACUUUAUCUAUAAGGAUCGGCUAACUCCGUUCCAGCAGCCGCGUCACUGCGGAGGGUCCGAGCGUUAGCCGGAUUUGUUGGGUUUAAAGGGAGCGUAGACGGGUUGUUAAGUCAGGUGUGAAAGUUCGCGGCUCAACCGUGAAACUGCAAUUGAUACUGGCAGCCUUGAGUACAGGUGAGGUAGGUGGAAUUCGUGGUGUAGCGGUGAAAUGCUUAGAUAUCACGAAGAACUCCGAUUGCGAAGGCAGCCUACUAAAAUGCAACUGACACUGAUGCUCGAAAGCGUGGGUAUCAAACAGGAUUAGAUACCCUUGUAGUC
rnacentral:rRNA from 1 species